AGCUCCAAUAGCGUAUACUAACGUUGUUGCAGUUAAAAAGCUCGUAGUUGGAUUUCUGUUACGGUCAGUCGGCCGGCUCCUCGGAGUUGUAGCUAGAUUUGAUUGUAGCAUCUUGGCGUAAUAACCACUGGCAUUCAUUUGUUGGUGCGUUGGACCGCCUCGUUUACUUUGAGAAAAUUAGAGUGUUCAAAGCGGGCUAUCGCCUUGAAUAUUGUAGCAUGGAAUAAUAAUAUAGGACUUUUGGUUCUAUUUUGUUGGUUGUUCGAGAACCAAAGUAAUGAUUGAUAGGGACAGUUGGGGGCAUCAGUAUUCUGAAGCGAGAGGUGAAAUUCUUGGACCUUCGGAAGACUAACAACUGCGAAAGCAUUUGCCUAGGAUGUUCUCU
rnacentral:rRNA from 1 species